UGGGGAAUAUUGCACAAUGGGCGAAAGCCUGAUGCAGCAACGCCGCGUGAGCGAUGAAGGCCUUCGGGUCGUAAAGCUCUGUCCUCAAGGAGGAUAAUGACGGUACUUGAGGAGGAAGCCCCGGCUAACUACGUGCCAGCAGCCGCGGUAAUACGUAGGGGGCUAGCGUUAUCCGGAAUUACUGAGCGUAAAGGGUGCGUAGGUGGUUUCUUAAGUCAGAGGUGAAAGGCUACGGCUCAACCGUAGUAAGCCUUUGAAACUGGUAAACUUGAGUGCAGGAGAGGAGAGUGUAAUUCCUAGUGUAGCGGUGAAAUGCGUAGAUAUUAGGAGGAACACCAGUUGCGAAGGCGGCUCUCUGGACUGUAACUGACACUGAGGCACGAAAGCUUUGGGAGCAAACA
rnacentral:rRNA from 1 species